rnacentral:rRNA from 1 species
GGAUUAGUGGCGAACGGGUGAGUAACACGUGAGUAACCUGCCCUUGACUCUGGGAUAAGCACUGGAAACGGUGUCUAAUACCGGAUACGACCCUCAACCGCAUGGUUAGGGGGUGGAAAGAAUUUUGGUCAAGGAUGGACUCGCGGCCUAUCAGGUAGUUGGUGAGGUAAUGGCUCACCAAGCCGACGACGGGUAGCCGGCCUGAGAGGGUGACCGGCCACACUGGGACUGAGACACGGCCCAGACUCCUACGGGAGGCAGCAGUGGGGAAUAUUGCACAAUGGGCGAAAGCCUGAUGCAGCAACGCCGCGUGAGGGAUGACGGCCUUCGGGUUGUAAACCUCUUUUAGUAGGGAAGAAGCGAAAGUGACGGUACCUGCAGAAAAAGCACCGGCUAACUACGUGCCAGCAGCCGCGGUAAUACGUAGGGUGCAAGCGUUAUCCGGAAUUAUUGGGCGUAAAGAGCUCGUAGGCGGUUUGUCGCGUCUGCUGUGAAAACUGGAGGCUCAACCUCCAGCCUGCAGUGGGUACGGGCAGACUAGAGUGCGGUAGGGGAGAUUGGAAUUCCUGGUGUAGCGGUGGAAUGCGCAGAUAUCAGGAGGAACACCGAUGGCGAAGGCAGAUCUCUGGGCCGUAACUGACGCUGAGGAGCGAAAGCAUGGGGAGCGAACAGGAUUAGAUACCCUGGUAGUCCAUGCCGUAAACGUUGGGAACUAGAUGUAGGGGCCAUUCCACGGUUUCUGUGUCGCAGCUAACGCAUUAAGUUCCCCGCCUGGGGAGUACGGCCGCAAGGCUAAAACUCAAAGGAAUUGACGGGGGCCCGCACAAGCGGCGGAGCAUGC